CUAAUUACAAUUCUUUAAACCCUCAUAUUAAUCAACAAGAACUAACAUUCAAAUGAUGAAAGAUUUUUGGUUUUAUAGCCAUUUUAUAUAGCGAGUGUUGCCAUGAGAUUUUAGAUUCAAUGUCAUUUCAAUUAAAAAAAAAAUCUGUAAAACAUGUGGUAGAUAUACUGCCAUGUUUAUUGAAUAAUGAAAGUAGUCAUUGUAUUGAACUUUCUAAAAUAUUCUAUGAAGCUUUUUAUGGUAGGAACUUAAACUCUACUAACUAUAGUUUUAACAUUUUGUUAGAAUAUCAGCGCCAAGGUUUAAGGUACAUAAAAGUGGAUGUAGAAAAUAACUUGCAACUUGCCAGAGAUGGGCAAUAAAAUCCUUAGAAGUUCUUUCAAAAGUGAAUCUUUUCUAGAUGCAUUAAAAUUGCUGGACUGCUAUAUUACCUUAGUUGCAACUCAAAGAGGUUCCGAUCAAGGGCUAACCUGUGCCUCACAUGUUUCUUUUGCUUUUUUUAUUGAUAAAAAUCUAACAUGUUUUUUGGGCUACCCAAUUCUGACCUAACCCUUCUUUGAACUUGACCAUUCAAAGUGAGAGGAAAUAAAAUUUAGAUUGGCUUGGUCAGAUUGCUCAAACUUCAACUAGAAUCCAACUAAGCAUUGAAUCAUGUUGCCAUUUACCCACUAAAAUCCAACCCAGCACAGUCGUAUAAAGUUUCAAUCAUACUGAAGCAUUGGUCAGAUCUGAUCGGAGCCUGUACAUGCACCUGAAUGUUAUCAUGUAUCAUAUCAUGUCUAACUAGGUAUAGCCUGUGGUAUGAAUUACCAAGUACUACAUAGGCCAACAUCAAAUACUUGAUGGUUAGUUAAAUUCUUGAAAACGUAGAUAAAUAUAAUCUUGCUGCAGUUAGAUGCUUUUUUACUGCAAUUGGGUUCAAUGUUUAGGGUUUUGAGAGAAAUACAAACAAUGCAUUAUUUUUAUCAUGAAACAGCAUACUUGCUAAUACCAUUUAUUUAGGUUAGACAAUUUAUAUGAU
rnacentral:lncRNA from 1 species